rnacentral:tRNA from 1 species
GCACAUGUGGCGGAAUUGGUAGACGCGCUAGCUUGAGGGGCUAGUAUCCUUUUUGGAUGUGCAGGUUCAAGUCCUGUUAUGUGCA